GAAAAGGCAAGGAGAGACGCAGGCGAUCCUCAAGCUCUCCAGCCAACAGUGAAUUUUUGUGUAGUUGGGUGCAAAACCCUCAACAUGUCAAAGGUCUAUUUUUGUCAACUGGUCCAAGAGCCAGCACCAGAUCUGAGGUCACCCAAGGAGGAUGGGGGUCCCUGCUGAGUCUGGUUCCCCUCAAGGUCUGCUGACCCUCCCUAACAAACCAGCCAUCACCUACCUAAACCUAAAGUAACAACAGAGGAAACCCUGCAUAUUGCAAGGUGCACUCACCAUCUCCACACCCUGAGGAAAAGCUGUGCCAUCCCAGUCCUUUUUAGGAAAGCGCUGGAUAAUUUUACCACUUCCAUCAC